rnacentral:pre_miRNA from 1 species
UUUCUACUCCCUCCAUCCGAAAAUACUUGUCAUCAAAAUGGAUAAAAAGAGAUGUAUCUAAAACUAAAAUAUGUCUAGAUACAUUUCCUUUUAUCCAUUUUGAUGACAAGUAUUUCCGGACAGAGGGAGUAUUUG